rnacentral:rRNA from 1 species
CAGCAGCCGCGGGAAUACAGAGGGUGCAAGCGUUAAUCGGAAUUACUGGGCGUAAAGCGCGCGUAGGUGGUUCGCCAAGUUGGAUGUGAAAUCCCCGGGCUCAACCUGGGAACUGCAUCCAAAACUGGCGAGCUAGAGUAUGGUAGAGGGUGGUGGAAUUUCCUGUGUAGCGGUGAAAUGCGUAGAUAUAGGAAGGAACAUCAGUGGCGAAGGCGACCACCUGGACUGAUACUGACACUGAGGUGCGAAAGCGUGGGGAGCAAACAGGAUUAGAUACCCCAGUAGUCCCUGUCUCUUAUAU